rnacentral:rRNA from 1 species
GGAAUUGACGGGGCCGCACAAGCGGUGGAGUAUGUGGUUUAAUUCGAUGCAACGCGAAGAACCUUACCUGGUCUUGACAUCCCGGAGACCCUUAGGAAACUAGGGGGUGCUUCCAUCUGGAAGAAUCUGGAGACAGGUGCUGCAUGGCUGUCGUCAGCUCGUGUCGUGAGAUGUUGGGUUAAGUCCCGCAACGAGCGCAACCCUUGCCUUUAGUUGCCAGCAGUUCGGCUGGGCACUCUAAAGGGACUGCCGGUGUUAAACCGGAGGAAGGUGGGGAUGACGUCAAGUCCUCAUGGCCUUUAUGACCAGGGCUACACACGUACUACAAUGGCCGAUACAAAGGGCAGCGACACUGCGAGGUGAAGCCAAUCCCGUAAAAUCGGUCUCAGUCCGGAUUGGAGUCUGCAACUCGACUCCAUGAAGUUGGAAUCGCUAGUAAUCGUGGAUCAGCAUGCCACGGUGAAUACGUUCCCGGGCCUU